rnacentral:rRNA from 1 species
GAUGAACGCUGGCGGCGUGCCUAAUACAUGCAAGUCGAGCGAACAGAUGAGGAGCUUGCUCCUCUGACGUUAGCGGCGGACGGGUGAGUAACACGUGGAUAACCUACCUAUAAGACUGGGAUAACUUCGGGAAACCGGAGCUACUACCGGAUAAUAUAUUGAACCGCAUGGUUCAAUAGUGAAAGACGGUUUUGCUGUCACUUAUAGAUGGAUCCGCGCCGCAUUAGCUAGUUGGUAAGGUAACGGCUUACCAAGGCAACGAUGCGUAGCCGACCUGAGAGGGUGAUCGGCCACACUGGAACUGAGACACGGUCCAGACUCCUACGGGAGGCAGCAGUAGGGAAUCUUCCGCAAUGGGCGAAAGCCUGACGGAGCAACGCCGCGUGAGUGAUGAAGGUCUUCGGAUCGUAAAACUCUGUUAUUAGGAAAGAACAAAUGUGUAAGUAACUAUGCACGUCUUGACGGUACCUAAUCAGAAAGCCACGGCUAACUACGUG